GUUGGCUACUGUGAGAAGGAAGAGUUAGUGCUUUGUCUGACGAGCUGCCUAUGCGAACCGUCAAGGAGCAAAAGAAAAACUGGAAUAGAAUAAGAAUUGCACUGCUAAGAGAAGACAGAGAUUGUCCACAGCAGUGUAGUCACACUGUGGCUUACAGACCAUUGAUGUGUCCCACAAUUUGGAGCUGCAGUGCUAGAGAGGGGGGAAAAGCUCAUCCCACUGCUCUUCCCAGCAGAAGGACACAGGAGAUAGAGGUGGCAGCAGCUGGCACAUCAGGGGUUAAACAAUUUACUUUUCUUUAACAACACUUCAUUUUUCCCUCAAAGUUUAUCUACAUUAAAAUAUUCUAAAUGUAGUGUGUUUCUGUAAGUCUAAUUAUAUGCGGCAUGCGAAAACAUAUUCGAUAAUCAUAUUGCUAAUUAUGUGCAAUCACUUCAAUACACAGGUGCAAAGCUCCAGAAAUAUGCACAUUUUAAUCACCUUGUAUAUAGAUAUAAACCACAACUUUUCAUUUAAGUGUUCAGUGACUCCUUUCUUUUUUUUUUCUGGGACUACACUUCCUUGGAUUUUGGACCGGCUGGGGUCAGAAAAAGAAAUAUAUUAAGCUACUACAAAUCUGGAAUUUAAUUUAUAUGUGUAUGUUCCAGUGCUAAAAAAACCUGUAAUUCCUUACUUUUCCAUGGUUUAUGAACAUUUUAAAGCACAUAUUUUAUAAUUUAUUGAUGGACACAGCAUGCUGACUUCAGAGAUA